rnacentral:lncRNA from 1 species
GGACGACGCCACAGCUUGCUGAGGAACGCGUCGCUCUUGCGCAGCUCCCUCCAGCGUCGCUUCACGGCACGCGAGCUGCGACCGUCGUCGAGGCGCAGGCAGAGGCGGGCGAGCUCGGCGUCGUCGUCGGCGGUGAAAGGGCGGUGGAAGACGUCGCGGGCGAGGUGGUCCCUCCACCUGUCGCGGCACUGCGCGGGCGAGCGGCGGCUGCUGUGGCGCGGCAUCUGCGCCGCCACGCGGCGCCAGUGGCGGGAGCCGUGCUCCAUGGCGAGGCGCUCCAGGACGGCGUCCAACUCGGGCGUCCACGCUGGCGGGAGCCUGAUGCGGACGACGCACCUCCCGAGCGGCGGCGACGUCGCAGAUGAAGAAGCGAAGACGGAGGCGGCAGAGGAGGAGGAGGAGAGCUCCAUGUCCAUGGCGUGCGGCGUCAAUCGAAUCAGAAGGUGGGGCGGAAGUGUUACUCCGACAACCGUGAGUGGCGGCAGAGCGGCUAGGAUCACACAGAGCCCAAAAACUAACUGUGCGGCGUGCUGUGGAGGUCGAGGGAAUAGUGAAGCUCCGACCACUAUACGCAUCGAGGCGUGGGGUGCCAGGAGCAGCACUUCGACCUUGGGUUUAGGUUUUGCUGGGCUUUACAACCAACGGUCCGACGUCGGGGAUAGUAAACCGCGAGCGUCCCCAUGGAAGGCGUAA